GACGAACGCUGGCGGCGUGCUUAACACAUGCAAGUCGAACGGGAUAAUUUGAGAGCUUGCUCUUAGAGAAUCUAGUGGCAAACGGGUGAGUAACACGUAGACAACCUGCCGACAGGAUGGGGACAACAUUCCGAAAGGAAUGCUAAUACCGAAUGAAGCGGAGGAGAGGCAUCUCUCUUCCGUGAAAGAUGGCCUCUGAACAUGCUAUCACCUGUCGAUGGGUCUGCGUCUGAUUAGCUCGUUGGUGAGGUAACGGCUCACCAAGGCGACGAUCAGUAGCCGGUCUGAGAGGAUGAACGGCCACAUUGGGACUGAGACGCGGCCCAGACUCCUACGGGAGGCAGCAGUGGGGAAUCUUCCGCAAUGGGCGCAAGCCUGACGGAGCAACGCCGCGUGAGUGAAGAAGGUCUUCGGAUCGUAAAGCUCUGUUGAUGGGGACGAACGUACGGAGUGCGAAUAGUGCUCUGAAAGAC
rnacentral:rRNA from 1 species